GGGAAGAGAUAUUACCUUGAUCUUGAGAAGAAGUGGAAACAUUACGAGAACUCACUAGACCNGUAGAAUGUGUGACUGUGGGAUUAGAUUGAGGAAGAAGUGCCAAUAGACCUUGAAUUUGCUCUUGAGAAAGUCCCAAAGUUGGGGAAUGUGAUUGCGCAUGAGAAUUAUUAGAAGAAGAAACAACUGCAGAAGGCAUUGAAUUUAACAACCUCAAAUUGAACAAAAAUUUCAUAACCCG
rnacentral:lncRNA from 1 species